rnacentral:rRNA from 1 species
AUUGAACGCUGGCGGCAUGCCUUACACAUGCAAGUCGAACGGCAGCACGGGAGCAAUCCUGGUGGCGAGUGGCGAACGGGUGAGUAAAGUAUCGGAACGUGCCCAGUCGUGGGGGAUAACGUAGCGAAAGUUACGCUAAUACCGCAUACGAUCUAUGGAUGAAAGCGGGGGAUCGCAAGACCUCGCGCGAUUGGAGCGGCCGAUAUCAGAUUAGGUAGUUGGUGGGGUAAAGGCUCACCAAGCCGACGAUCUGUAGCUGGUCUGAGAGGACGCCCGGCCACACUGGGCCUGAGACACGGCCCAGACUCCUACGGGAGGCAGCAGUGGGGAAUUUUGGACAAUGGGCGCAAGCCUGAUUCAGCCAUGCCGCGUGCAGGAUGAAGGCCUUCGGGUUGUAAACUGCUUUUGUACGGAACGAAAAGGUUUGACUUAAUACGUUGGACUCAUGACGGUACCGUAAGAAUAAGCACCGGCUAACUACGUGCCAGCAGCCGCCGUAA